AGGCGGAAUUCGUGGUGUAGCGGUGAAAUGCUUAGAUAUCACGAAGAACUCCGAUUGCGAAGGCAGCUUACUGGAUUGUAACUGACGCUGAUGCUCGAAAGUGUGGGUAUCAAACAGGAUUAGAUACCCUGGUAGUCCACACAGUAAACGAUGAAUACUCGCUGUUGGCGAUAUACAGUCAGCGGCCAAGCGAAAGCAUUAAGUAUUCCACCUGGGGAGUACGCCGGCAACGGUGAAACUCAAAGGAAUUGACGGGGGCCCGCACAAGCGGAGGAACAUGUGGUUUAAUUCGAUGAUACGCGAGGAACCUUACCCGGGCUUAAAUUGCAACUGACGGAACCGGAAACGGUUCUUUCUUCGGACAGUUGUGAAGGUGCUGCAUGGUUGUCGUCAGCUCGUGCCGUGAGGUGUCGGCUUAAGUGCCAUAACGAGCGCAACCCUUACGGGUAGUUACCAUCAGGUUAUGCUGGGGACUCUACCCGGACUGCCGUCGUAAGAUGUGAGGAAGGUGGGGAUGACGUCAAAUCAGCACGGCCCUUACGUCCGGGGCUACACACGUGUUACAAUGGGGGGUACAGAAGGCAGCUACACGGCGACGUGGUGCUAAUCCCAAAAGCCUCUCUCAGUUCGGAUUGGAGUCUGCAACCCGACUCCAUGAAGCUGGAUUCGCUAGUAAUCGCGCAUCAGCCACGGCGCGGUGAAUACGUUCCCGGGCCUUGUACACACCGCCCGUCAAGCCAUGAAAGCCGGGGGUACCUGAAGUACGUAACCGCGAGGAGCGUCCUAGGGUAAAACUGGUGAUUGGGGCUAAGUCGUAACAAGGUAGCCGUACCGGAAGGUGCGGCUG
rnacentral:rRNA from 1 species